GAAAUAGCUGCUAAUACCGCAUAAGCGCACGGUUCCGCAUGGAACAGUGUGAAAAACUCCGGUGGUGUGAGAUGGACCCGCGUCUGAUUAGCCAGUUGGCGGGGUAACGGCCCACCAAAGCGACGAUCAGUAGCCGGCCUGAGAGGGUGAACGGCCACAUUGGGACUGAGACACGGCCCAAACUCCUACGGGAGGCAGCAGUGGGGAAUAUUGCACAAUGGGGGAAACCCUGAUGCAGCGACGCCGCGUGAGUGAAGAAGUAUUUCGGUAUGUAAAGCUCUAUCAGCAGGGAAGAAAGUGACGGUACCUGAAUAAGAAGCCCCGGCUAACUACGUGCCAGCAGCCGCGGUAAUACGUAGGGGGCAAGCGUUAUCCGGAUUUACUGGGUGUAAAGGGAGCGUAGACGGCAAGGCAAGUUUGAAGUGAAAGCCCGGUGCUUAACGCCGGGACUGCUUUGGAAACUGUUUAGCUGGAGUGCCGGAGAGGUAAGCGGAAUUCCUAGUGUAGCGGUGAAAUGCGUAGAUAUUAGGAAGAACACCAGUGGCGAAGGCGGCUUACUGGACGGUAACUGACGUUGAGGCUCGAAAGCGUGGGGAGCAAACAGGAUUAGAUACCCUGGUAGUCCACGCCGUAAACGAUGAUUACUAGGUGUAGGUGGGUAUGGACCCAUCGGUG
rnacentral:rRNA from 1 species